UUAUGGGGUAUGUGUACACCUCUUGGCUUGUAAUAGAUAGGGCUCGAAGAGCAUCUGGUCCAUUUCCCUUUCCCCUUUAUGCUUUUAUGGGGUAUGUGUACACCUCUUGGCUUGUAAUAGAUAGGGCUCGGAGAGCAUCUGUCCAUUUCCCCUUCCCCUUGGUUGCUUGCUUUUGUUGCUACAUGUUUAAUUGCUUUGAUAGGCUCUUGCAUCUAGUCGAGCAUGCUAAAUGCUAUGUGCUAUGUGUUUACGAGUAUUUUGGCAUGUCUACUUGCUUUCAUAGCCAUGAAUGAAUG
rnacentral:lncRNA from 1 species